rnacentral:misc_RNA from 1 species
GAUGAAGAACGUAGCGAAAUGCGAUAAGUAAUGCGAAUUGCAGAAUUCAGUGAAUCAUCGAAUCUUUGAACGCACAUUGCGCCCGCUAGUAUUCUGGCGGGCAUGCCUGUCUGAGCGUCAUUUCAACCCUCGCCCCCGGCUUCUGUCGGGGACGGUGUUGGGGAUCGGCCUCCCGUCUUCCGGGUGGCCGGCCCCUAAAUUGAGUGGCGACCACGCCGUAACCUCCUCUGCGUAGUAGUUAAACACUCGCGGGCGGAGAGCGGUGCGGCCUGCCGUAAAACCCCCAACUCUUCUAAGGUUGACCUCAGAUCAGGUAGGAAUACCCGCUGAACUUAAGCAUAUCAAUAAGCGGAGGA